GAUGAAGAACGCAGCGAAAUGCGAUAAGUAAUGUGAAUUGCAGAAUUCAGUGAAUCAUCGAAUCUUUGAACGCACAUUGCGCCCGCCAGUAUUCUGGCGGGCAUGCCUGUCUGAGCGUCAUUUCAACCCUCAUGCCCCUAGGGCGUGGUGUUGGGGAUCGGCCAAAGCCCGCGAGGGACGGCCGGCCCCUAAAUCUAGUGGCGGACCCGUCGUGGCCUCCUCUGCGAAGUAGUGAUAUUCCGCAUCGGAGAGCGAUGAGCCCCUGCCGUUAAACCCCCAACUUUCCAAGGUUGACCUCAGAUCAGGUAGGAAUACCCACUGAACUUAAGCAUAUCAAUAAGCGGAGGA
rnacentral:misc_RNA from 1 species